AAAUAUAUUUUUAUAAGAUAAAAAAGAAUACCUUGAUAUUUAAAGACGAAGAAAGACGUUUUAAAAAUACGAAAUACUUUAAUUAGCUUUUUGCAAUAAAUUAAAGUUUUCUGAAUGGGAGCCUACCUUAUAAUUUAAAAAAGAAAACUUGGAGAACUGAACCAUCUUAGUAUCCAAAGGAAAAAAAUUAACAAAAAUUCCCUAAGUAGUGGCGAGCGAAAUGGGAAAUAAAUAUUUAUUUAUUAAGUAAAUUAGAAAAUAAUUCUGAUUGAAGAAACAAGAACCUCCUUGUAAAAUAAAAUACUUUAAAAUAAUCAAUAGUGAACUAGUACCGUAAGGGAAAGGUGAAAAGAUCCCCGGAAGGGAAGUGAAAAAGAAUAUGAAUUUUUUAUCUUACAAUCUAUAGAAGGGUUAAAGAACCUAACUAUAUGCCUGUUGAAGAAGGAGCUGACGAGUCUUAAUUAUUUCAAGCAUUUGGUUAAAUUUAAUUAAUUGAAGCCAGAGUUAAUGCGAGUUAUUAUUAUAUAAUAACAAUUGCUUGUAAUUAAGAACCCGAACCCGAAUGAAUUAAUCUUGUCCAGAAUGAAAUAUAGAUAAGUUUAUAUAGAGGUUCGAACUGGUUGAUAUUGCAAAAUCAUCAGAAGAGAUGAGAUUAGUGGUGAAAUGCUUAUCGAAUUCGGAGCUAGCUGGUUCUCCUUGAAAUGCGUUGAGGCGCAGCUAUUAUUAAUAUAUAUUUAAGGUGGUAAAGCACUAUAUAUAAUAUAUAUAUAUUAUUAUAUUAAUAAUAUAUAAACUAAUAAUACUUAAUUAUAUUAUAAUAUAAUAAGUGAGACUAUUGGGGAAAAUCUCAAAAGUCUAAAGGGAAACAACCCACAUCAUAAGUUAAAGUUUUUAAAAAGUAUUUAAAAAAAAGAAAUUUAAUUUCAUUUAUAUUUAGGAGGUUAGCUUAGAAGCAGUUAUCCUUUAAAGAGUGCGUAAUAGCUCGCUAAAUUAGAAAUUAUAUACUGAAAAUGAAAGAAAAAAAAUACUUUACUGAAACUAUGAGAUUUAUAUUUAAAUCGAUAGAGGAGCGUUCUAUAUUUAAUAAGCAAAAAUGUAAAUUUUUGUAUAAAAAUAAAAAUAGAAGUGAGAAUGUCAGCUUAAGUAGCAUAAAUAUUAGUAAAAAUCUAAUACUCCGAAAGCUAAAAGGUUUUCUAUGAAAGGAUAUACCACGUAGAUAAAGUCGGGGGUCUAAAAUUAGAUUUAAUAUGUAAUUGAUGGUUAAAAGGUUAAAUUUCCUUUACCAUAAUAUAUAAUUUAAACAAAUAGUGACCUAUAAUUUUUAUUAUAUUUUUAAGAUAUAGUUUCUUAAUAUAAUAAAAAUAUAUAGCUAGAAAAAUGUACUUGUUAUAUAUAU
rnacentral:ncRNA from 1 species